rnacentral:lncRNA from 7 species
ACCACUCUUGGAUAAGCGUGCAGAAAAGUGGGUGCUCUGCUAGGGUCUGAGCAGGCUGAUACUUGUACGAAGAUCCGCUGGUGGGGAAUGAAAAUGGCAUCUCUAAGCCUUGAAGCAGAGAUCUCUAUCAUGUCAAGAUCCUUCCCUAUGAAGUUCAGAGCCAAGCCUUGUCUUCAGGGGACACAGAGACUCCUGCUACACCACAGUCACAGCCCAGAGAAAAGUGACAGCAAACUCAAUGCUGUUCUCAGCUUAUCUGCCAAGACCGAUGUAAUGCUGAAGAAGCUGAAGUUCAGUGACAGAAGCAGAAAGGAAAAAAUUGUUUCCUAUCUAAAAUCAAAUAAAUGAAGUAUG